AACAAGGUUUCCGUAGGUGAACCUGCGGAAGGAUCAUUAUCGUUGGGCUUCGGCCCAUUCGAGAUAACACCCUUGCCUUUUUGAGUACCUUUUCGUUUCCUCGGCAGGCUCGCCUGCCAACGGGGACCCUUCAAAACGCUUUGUAAUACCUGUAAUUGUCUGAUAUAACAAGCAAAAAUCAAAACUUUCAACAACGGAUCUCUUGGUUCUGGCAUCGAUGAAGAACGCAGCGAAAUGCGAUAAGUAGUGUGAAUUGCAGAAUUCAGUGAAUCAUCGAAUCUUUGAACGCACAUUGCGCCCUUUGGUAUUCCUUAGGGCAUGCCUGUUCGAGCGUCAUUUAAACCUUCAAGCUCAGCUUGGUGAUGGGUGACUGUCCUCCCCUCGCGGGGGGACUCGCCUCAAAAACAUUGGCGGCCGGUACAUUGGCUUCGAGCGCAGCAGAAACGCGGUCUCGAGCCCGGUGGAUCGGCUCCCAUAAGUGCUAUUCUUUUAUUUUGACCUCGGAUC
rnacentral:rRNA from 1 species